UACGAAGCUAAAGCCGAGAUAUAUCAGUGUUGUAUUACUUUCAAUAAUUAAAAUAUAACUUAUUAACAAGGAAGCUAUUGUAAUGGUUUGGUGAGGGGAUACUGUCUGUAGAAACUUACGCAAAUGUUUGCUACGUGUGUUAGCCUUGGUCAUUGCUACUCGGUGUCACUUGCGCAAAUUAUUAUUGAAUGCGGGCGAAUAUAUGACAUGUUGAAGACUAUCAUAAGGUUAGCUAGAUGUUCUGUAUAUGAAUUUUGCAGCCUCUCCCCCGAAAACCUUUAAUGCCCUUAUAAGUGGUCAUCCAUUUAUGAUGCCAAAAUAUUGUUUCCUUAAACCGUUUUUUUUUGUUUACAUUGGCUAUAUGUUUGUUGCACCACAGUGCCAUUGUUUGGCGAUACACUAGUUGGAAGCAAUAUCCUUUAUUCUGCAAUAGUUUCCCAAUAUAUUUGAUUAUCAUAUGUAGUCGCUGGGUGGUGCAUAUACCCCUGGUUAUGAAUUAGUGGUUUUAAUCCAAACUUAAAGCUAGCAAGUGUAUUUUUACUAUCUAAACAAAUUAUUAACCCCUUGCUGUGAAGUGAAAUCAAGACCACUGUCCUUUUAAUUGCAAUUUGGAACACAUAAAUGUUACUUGAAAUAAAAUUUUAAUCUGUAUCUGUUUUAGAUGUGUAUAUAUCCUUCUGGAAUGCUGGCUCUCCAUCAAUGAAAGAAUGCAACACGUGCUGCCAACGCUUAUUCCACUGCCCACUGAGCCCAAUCUUUGAACCAUCAAAGUUUGCUUCUACCUGACCCCUUCCUGCAUGUUAGCUGAGACAAUCCUCUUGUCAGAGCAGAUACCUACCUCCGCCACUUUCAGAGCAAAUCACCAAAAACUCUGUGUAGUCAGACUGUCAAGCUCAUGAAGCUGAUAGCAUCUGCUACCAGUGUGCAAGAAAAAAUUGACAGAGGUGAAAUCAACAUGAUGGGCUACCUCUUUGAUGUCAUACUUCAAGAGGUAAUCAUCAGGAUCUUGAAAAAGAAUGAGGGCUUCAGCUGCUAUCGGGCAGAAUUUGCCAUGGCCAGCGGAUUUCACCAUUAAAGGCUGAAUAAAUGUGAUAGUCUUGAUUGUAUUUAUUUUGGAUGUUUGAUUAAAGAAAAGUCUAUUGUAACAAGUGGUUUUUGUCUCAUUUUAUUAAGCCUAUUCAAAUUUUGACAUGUCUCAUUGCUGCAUAAUUUCCUGAGGAAUUAUGAUUCUUUGGUGUACAACUACAUCUGAGAUUUAAGUGUCCACAGUUAUGACUCGAUGUUUGAAUGGUGAAUCGUCAUCCGCUUUUCGGCGACAUGAAAGCGUAUAUUUAAAUAGCGUUGGUGCAUCUAAUCCAGGAGUGAGAUUUAUACUCGGGAGACUUCGGUAAGAUUAAAAUGAGUUUAAUCAAAAAUAUUCUCAUUAUACAUUAAUAAUUAAAUUUUCAUGAACUGAUUAAUCAUUAGACGUUAUCAGUUGUAUUCCCUGAGAAACACCAGACUCAUAAAUGCACAUAAACAGGUGUGUCUCCAGAGAAGAGACAACUCCCUUUUAAGGUAAACAUGGUAUCGUAGAUGCGAGGGUAUCAUAGUCAUAGCAUAUCGAGACACUUCUAAAACUAAUUAUAGGCCUACUGUAAGGCUACAGUGAAUACAUGUACAUUUAAAUAAACUAAUUAAAAUAUGCAUUAUAUAUAAUUUAUACAUGAAGCCAGCAUUAUGCCCGGCUUAUUAUUAGCCUAGUACGGAGCACUAAGGGUGUUAACGGAGCUAAGUGCUGCGUUGUAACCAGAGACUUAUCGACCGCUAAUUAAAACGACUCGAAUAUACAAGUGGUAACAUCUUACAAAACAACUCGUUUCCUAAAUAAAGGAGGUCAGGUGACUUGAAUUCGUGGUGUGCAGGUUACGCAAUUUCCAUGUCCUUCCACUUUCUUCAUUGGGUCCUUAACAUGGAGGUCACGUGCUUCCGGUCCUCUCCGUGGAGAUUCUCCUGGUGGAGAUUCCCCAGCUUGCUGCAGGCAGGUUGUCUUGUGGCAGUUUUCAGGGCUAGGCGACGCAGUUGCUCUCCACCGACUGCACAACUUCAUGCAUGAUGGGAAACGACUUGCUCUGGUUUGAGCGAAGUGCCUAUUGGCUCAGAAAAGCUGUCACCACCCACAAGGAAGUUAUGAGACUUCUAUCUUAUCCAUCAUUAUUCCAAGAUAAACUUAAUGAACUGUCAGACAGACACCAAAUGAUUUUUAUCAGAGUACUGACAUUCACAGUUGAAUGCUUUACACAUUACUCAUAAAUGCUGUCUUACUAAACAUCUCUGCAAUGGAGUUCAUAUCGAAAUAACUAUCAAAACCCCUGAAUAAAAUAUAAUGAGAAAGUAAUUAGUAGAAGCUCUAGGUACACAAACUCCUUUAUCCAAUAAUAAUAAUAAUAAUAAUAAUAAUUAAAGCCGCAAGCGGCGUUGGGAGGGGUCCAAGCAUUGGCACUAUCGCGUCCCCAUGGAGCAAUUUUUAAAUGGCUUUGUCCUCAUGAUCAUAUACCUUCACCCAACAUAUCUGCUGAAUAUCAUGAAGAGAAAUGGAUAGGAAUAUGUGUCUGACAUAGUAAAAUAUUGAUGACUUAUGGACAAUUUUGUGCUAAGAGACGCUGUCGGAUGACUUGGUUGCGUCACCAUGGAUGUGUCCUGGUCGCUUCCCGUAAAGGCCUUUACUAUGUCGUAACACUUAGAUGGCAUGUCAUAACACUUAGAUGGCCUGGCGUGUAUGUAAAGCUGCAGCGCGUCCAUGCCGCAACUAAAGAAAGCAUCAGAUUAGUGUUGUCAUGAUACCAAAAUUUUGACUUUGAUACCAAUACCACGUUUAGUAUCACGAUACUCAAUACUGAAACGAUACUGAUUCAAUACUCGGUACAUAAUGAUACUGAAAUUACCUUAAUAGAUCAGAAACGUAAUGUCCACAAGGGUUGACCUCAUUUUCGAAUUCAUAGUUUAUUAAAAACCUGGUUUAUUAACAACCUUUAAGUUGAAACCUGUUCAACAUAUUAAUAAGCAUAGGCCUAUAGUGUUACAACACUAAACAAUAGAAAAAUAUAUUAAAUAUAUUUAAAAAAUUAAACAGUUUUAAACUAAAUAAUCUUUAUACAGGUCUUUCAGUUUUACAUAGAUCUAAAAAUAGCAUAUUUUAAUAACAAUACAGCAUCUUCCUAUAAUAAAAUAUUUCCAAAUUGGAACACCUAUUGCCACUGAGGUGAACUGAGUCGACGCUUGCGCUGUAUCAACGAGUGAGUGCACAAGCGUAAGUCAACUCACUUGGCAACCUUAGUUGCUACUGCCAUCUAGCGAAGAUUCUGACAAAUUACACUUUUCAUCCUCUCAAUCAGUAAUGCGGGAGACACAUUUCCCUGGCUUUUACAUUUGACACAAAACUACCGAAUGUCAGAAAAUUCUAAUACCGAACCGUUUCUUUUUUUUUUUUUAAAUACCAAAAAAGUGCUGAAGUUUCGGUAUACCGUGCAACACUACGUCAGACACAUAUUCCAAUCCAUUGCUCAGUUUAGCAGAGAAUGCACAUUUCAGAGCGCCUCAGAGACAGAUAGGAUAAUAAUACAUAGUUCAUAUAGCCUAAUAAAUACGACAUUUAAAAAAAUGAAACAAAAAACGAAAUAUCAACUCGACAUCCCUGCUAGCAUGCGUGCUGCGCGAAGAGUACCUUAUUAUUUAUUUUGACAUUGGCAGACUACAGCAUUUGCGUCUUUUGUUUAUAUUCAAUAGUAAUUGCAGCGAGAAACUGCAGCUGUAGACACAAGAAAGUUUGUUAUAUUAUGGUAGCAACGGAAUGAAGCAGACUACAUAUGGCAGGAGGUAGCCUGACACAGCUGUGCCGGAUUCACUGGGGGAUGGAUUAUUGGAGUCUGGGUGCACAUGCAGAUCGGGGUGUAAGCCGAUUCACCGGUCGCGGGAGUUGGGGGCGUGGCGCAGCUGUUUCGUGUUUGCCCUAACAAGCUUGCAGGGUUAAAGAGGCAGGUGAGAGGGAGAACGCGAGAGACGCCAGGGAUGAAUGUUGGGUUCCUCAGAUGAGGAUUUGUCCUUUUUUUGUUUUAAGUUAGUUUAGUUUUUGUUGAGGUUGGGUUUGCUUUCCUUUUGCUAUUGUUAUUUCUGUUUCCUUCUUUUGUAUGAGCUGUCUCCCGUCCUGGUGGUGGCUGGCUGGCGGUCCCGGACGCUGCACUGGUGCCACAAGGAGCGAGCUGCGCCCGGACCAAGUGGAAAACGUGGUGGGAUUCGGGGAGGAGCGGCGCUGAGCAGAGCCGCACUGGCCCUGUGGCAAGGACACUGCGCUACUUCGGCAAGGACCAACGCCGCAAGGGGAGACUCUAGACAAGCCCUGACGAGGGCGGAGGAACAGCGAGUCUCCCACUCUGUGAGACUUUACAGCACGGACCAGGACCGGAGCCGGCGCCAACUCGCUCUCCAGCUGCAGGGCGCAGCAGGGACUCUGUGUGGCAAACAGUGGGACUUCAAUAACGUCUUCCCCCUCCGGUAGCGGGGCUGAGGCGCAGGGGGGCCAGAGUGGGUACACUGUUUUUCUGCUGAGUGUGGGCACGUGUGAGGGGAACCCCAGCGGCUUAAAAGUGUGUGGUGUGUGAGGGGUGUUGCUCCUACCUGCGUCGGGGCUUCGUGGAAGGGAAGGGGAGGGCCAGAGUGGGAGAGUGCUAGAGGAAGCCGGGGGCAGGAAGGAAGGGUGGGGUUGGUGCGAGAUUGUGGCGUGCUCUGUUUUUAUGAAUUAACCAUUAAAUAAAAGUUUCCCUUUUACCUGCCUUGUCCU